UACGUAGGGUGCAAGCGUUAAUCGGAAUUACUGGGCGUAAAGCGUGCGCAGGCGGUCCGUUAAGACAGAUGUGAAAUCCCCGGGCUUAACCUGGGAACUGCAUUUGUGACUGCAUUGCUGGAGUGCGGCAGAGGGGGGAUGGAAUUCCGCGUGUAGCAGUGAAAUGCGUAGAUAUGCGGAGGAACACCGAUGGCGAAGGCAAUCCCCUGGGCCUGCACUGACGCUCAUGCACGAAAGCGUGGGGAGCAAACAGG
rnacentral:rRNA from 1 species